GUACAGCCUGGCUCAAAGGUUGGGAUUGGUGCCUUGAUUUGGAAUAAUUGGAAAUGGGCAUGAAUGGGCUCUUGGACAGACUAACUUGCAGAGCAACUCUCAAAUUUGCCGGAGGUUUGUCAGGGUUUUCCCAGUCUAGAUAAAUACUU